AUAAUCCUGCCAACACUUAAAUCCCUUUUGCUUCCUAGACUGUCCAGAGCAAUUGAUAAUGCUGAUGCUUUAGGAAGCAAUGCUGUGCUUUAAGUCAGUUUGGAACUCAUGUUUCAGCAAGGGCCCACUGCGUUCCCAGGCAUGGCAGAAAUCAAGUGAAACGUAAUGCAUAGAGCCUGACCACCUCUGGUCCCAAAGGCUUGCUUGGAACUCCUCACAGGAUGGAAACCUUCCUAUUUCUGCAUUAAUCCUUGUCUGCUGGCCAAGUUCCAACUCAGAAGAACUGUAGGAUGAAGAGAAGGUGGUGACGCAACACUGACCAGAGCAGAACCAAAGAGAAUGACAGACUCAUGAGAUCCUCUGAUCUGGUCCCCUCCCUCAGGAUGCAAGUCAUGAGCCCCACAUCCCGGGAUACCUGCAGGGACUGUUCCUCAGCGAGAAAGCAGAGUCUCUGUCAUGUAUCAAAAUAUGCCGCUACAAUUUUGUGACUUCACAGUCCUGCUUCCUGGAUUCCACCUCUCGGGUUCUCUUAUUGCAUUUAUGUGUAGACAUAUCUGCGUCCCCUCCUUGACAGCUGGCAUCUGACAUUAGUCCUCUUGGUAUCCCCAUGCCUGGGACAGUUCCUAACACAUAUGGGGGCUUAAUGAGUGUCACAUUGAAUUAUACUUUUUGUAUCCCCACUCUAUACCUUUCGCACAUAGAAGGCAUUCCUUCAAUAUUGGUGAAUUACGCAAUUAAUGGAGGAACGAUGGGAAUGAUCAUACUAAGAGAAAUUAAUCAUGAUUGUAGGCAGAUCUUAGGGGCAGAGAUAAAUGACAAUUUCCUCCUUCUGUUUUCAUUUAUCUUUAGAGAGACAGGGUUUCUUUCCUUUAUCAAUUCCAUAUCCCUUGUACUCCAAACUAGUAUCUAACCUUGUUAAAAUGAACCCCUUUCUUUUCCCCACAAGGCCAAUUUCAUAAUUAUAUAUUCUGUUUACUUACGUAUCAACCAUUUUAAGAAUUACAGCAACCUGACUAUCACAAAGUUUGUAAGGAUUAAGUGGCCAAAGACACUUAAACAACACAGCUUAGCAUUCUUUCAGUUCCCUUAAAAACAGCACAGUUCUAAAGAAACCAAAUUGCAGAAUCCAAUUCAGGAUGUAGAUUAGCCCAAAGAAAAGGAAAUAAUGACAGGAAUUCCUCCUUGGCAGGUUAUAACUACUAAGCUAAAAUUCAUGCAUCUGGAAAAUAUUAUAGCAUUAAAAAAACCUGAUUUCCCUUGAAUUAGGACCCGCUCUGAUUUGGCUCCUCUUGCAUCUGCUUUAACCAAAGGCUUGUCGAAAUGAAGUUAUCUAAAUGUCUGUGCUGGGUGAUCAGGCAGCACCAGGAUGGCACAAAAGAGAUGAGAAAAGAGCAAGAGGAAAGGAAUAUGUCACAUCUUGACUACAGGGCGACAGUGCAAAACAUCUAAUCACAGCAGCGCCAGGGAACUUGAACCUGUCCAAAAAGAUCCCUCGCUCUCCAUGUUUAAUUGCCGUUGAUGGCUGCUGGCCAGUCAUGCAUGACAAUGUGUGCGUGUCUCGCUGCUCCCUGCCUGUGCUCAUUCCUGUCAGCUUUCACUCCAGGUGAUGAACACAGUCCUCGGACCAUGUGAGGGGGAUCUGGGCCAGAGAUGGGGGGGCAGGGUGGGCUGGAGGACCUCCUCACGGACAUAAAGCAGCUUGUACUCCAAUAACCCAUGGCUAGGCAGAGGUCUUUUAGAAAUAGAAACGUUAUAACCAGCUUCAAUCUCUUACUUCUUUUCCCUGAGUACGCAGCAUAUCUGUUUUCCUCUCAAGGAAAACAAAACUAGGACACACCAUGCAAAUGGGUAGGACAUCUGUGACCUGAGGUAUGUCAAUUGGCAGCAUGCAAAUCUCCUGUUUGGUCGAUUCUAUUUGAGCACAUGCUUGAGGAUGGAUAGAGAAAUUUGAAUUACACUAAAAGACUACUCAAUAGUUUUAAACCUCUUCUUUCUGUCUGCACAAAAGGCAAAAUCAUGUUUCUAUUGAUUCCAAUGACAAGAAAAACUCUCUGAGUUCUUGGGGAAAAGAUGGUUUAUUAAGUCUAAUGUGGUGUUGAUAAUUCGGAAGGAAUGCAUGGAUCCUCUUGCAGCCUAAUACUUCAUAUUUAGUGUGAGAUAAGUCUAGAAGUUCUCUGGAGUUUCAGACCCCUGGAUAGGCUUCUUUGAAGCACGAAUCAGUGAGAAAUCUCAAAGCACAAAAGUUCCAGGGAGAACGAAAUGGUGAGGUUCAGUUUAGGAACCACUUUCUGCAGAAGGCCUGUCUCUUGUCUACAUUCUGUGCAGUGUUGGGAAGAGCUUAACUUCUCUCUGGCUUUACUUGCCUUAUCUCUAAAAAUAGACAUCUCUGCCUCAUGAAGAUGCUAUGAGGAUUCAAUGAGCUGACGUCUACUUAUGAGCUUCCUCUGCAGAUAAAUAGACAUACUGCAGGCAUGUAAGCACAAGGAUGUAUGGUCUAGUUAUUUUUGCAGACUUAGUGACAGAGCAUAAUGAUAAAUGGUACAAGUUCUGAAAUGAGUCAGGACUAGAUUUGAAGACUGACUUUGUUACCUACUAGCUGUUUGUCUUGUGUUAAUUUUCUCAUCUUAAAAUGGAGACAAUUAUUCUUACCCGAGAAACAGUUGAGAGGAUGUGCUGAAAAGAUCUGACACAGAGGCCAGCGCAGUGGCGCAGCUGUUAAGUUCGCACGUUCCGCUUCUUGGUGGGGGUUCGCUGGUUCGGAUCCCGGAUGCGGA